rnacentral:lncRNA from 1 species
GUGAUUGUGAUAGACCCGGGAAACCUGGUCUGACGCCCUUUUAAACUGCAGUUGGAGGAGGCUGACGAAGUAAAAAAGUUGACGUUGCCAGCUAACUAUGCGACCCUUUUGAUGUCUGUUGUCAGCCCCCCAGAACCUCUUCUUUGAGAAACUUCUGCAGUUCCUGGCCAAGGAGGUACCUACUGCCAGCGACUACUACCAAGAACAAGCAGCUCCAAAACUGGAUGGUGGGCAGAGAGAUUUUCAUCUGCUCGCCGUUAUCUCCUCGAUUUGACGAGCAGCUCCCUGGGUUUCCUCGUGGUUUGUUUCACAGGAUUCAGUGAACGUGUUCCAAGCAGCAGAGGGUCCUGGCAGUCCGACCCUGUGGGGAAUCCCCAGACUGACAUGGGGCCUCAGUAAAGGGAGUUUUUGAGAUAAGGUGGGGGUAUAGAGAAUGUACUGUGGGACAGCACCAGAAUGAAAAGGAAGUAAACCCAGGCAUAGACAUUGGGUGUUCAAUUCGGGGAGAGGUUCAGCAGCCCCAAAAUGAGGCAGCUGGAAGACUGGAGGCCUGAGCCCAGUAGGAGGAGGCGGAGGUGUGACCUGCCUAGUGUGGAGGUGACACUUCUUUCCUACAAUCCCACCUUCCACCCUCCCCGCUUCCUGUUGGCCUCUGUAGGCAUGACUUCCUUACGGGCUGGGGGCUGCCGACUGGUCUUUCACUCCAGCCCCAGACUUAAGGUGUGGCUGUACACAGGCACCCAACGACGGGCAUUUAGGAGUUCAGUGGGUGUCUCCUUUGGCUGGGGGCUGCUGAAUGCAGAAGUGGUGGCUCAAGUUCAUCAUAUCUGGCCACAGGUAGGC